rnacentral:ncRNA from 1 species
AUUCUUCGGGGCGAGGUGGAAUUCCUCACUGGCGGUAAAGCCCGCGACCCUGCUAAGGCAGGCUGAUUUGGUGAAAAUCCAAAGCCAACGGUAUAGUCCGGAUGGAAGAAGAAG